UUUGGUGUACAUACCUUAACUGUUGCUUCGGCGGGUAGGCGUCCCCUAAAAAGGACGUCUCCCGGCCCUCUCCCGUCCGCGGGUGGGGCGCCCGCCGGAGGAUAACCAAACUCUGAUUUAACGACGUUUCUUCUGAGUGACACAAGCAAAUAAUCAAAACUUUUAACAACGGAUCUCUUGGUUCUGGCAUCGAUGAAGAACGCAGCGAAAUGCGAUAAGUAAUGUGAAUUGCAGAAUUCAGUGAAUCAUCGAAUCUUUGAACGCACAUUGCGCCCGCCAGCAUUCUGGCGGGCAUGCCUGUUCGAGCGUCAUUUCAACCCUCAAGCUCUGCUUGGUGUUGGGGCUCUACGGUUGACGUAGGCCCUUAAAGGUAGUGGCGGACCCUCUCGGAGCCUCCUUUGCGUAGUAACAUUUCGUCUCGCAUUGGGAUUCGGAGGGACUCUAGCCGUAAAACCCCCAAUUUUACUAAGGUUGACCUCGGAUCAGGUAGGAAUACCCGCUGAACUUAAGCAUAUCAAUAAGCCGGGAGGAAGGCAGUCGUUACGA
rnacentral:rRNA from 1 species